ACUCAUGAUCUUAAUCAUGAUUAACAAAGUUAAGUUAAAUGGAUAACCUUCACGUGGUGUUAAAGUUAACAAAAAAGUUUUUCGUCGGAUAUUGUAUAUGAAGGAGACAGAAAUAUAUCUUUGUACUGAUGAGAAAACGGGCUUCAACAUAGUAAUAAUAGAAGAGAUGCAUUUCAAGAUUAAGCUUGGGGUGGAGCUUUUUGCUUCGGAUAACUUAAGGAAAUAAAUUCAAGAGUUCACCAAUCGAAAGCAAUCAACCAGCAGAAACCAGAGGUAUAAAGGUUUCAAGAUAAAGCGUGUUCUAACAAAAGGGGAAGGGACUCUUUUAGCAUUUUAGCCAUUGUGCAGGAAACCAUGAAAGAAAUGGUAUAGAAUGAAGACGCCUCAAGUGCCAUUGUGCAAAGCAAGCUAUACAAGGGCAGCUCAAUUUCCACGUUUUGAGAAGUGUGAAGGAAAUGGUAAAGAAAGGCAAACAAAGAUGCAAGGAAAUGGCUUCUGUACAUAAUAUCAUCUGACUAAGGCAACAAAAAUAUGCAAAGAUUGUAAAGCUUUGCCAACACAAGGACAUGGAAAGGAAGGCCUUACAAACACCCAUUAUUUUAUUGGCAGUUUUUUCACAGUAUCAUCCACUAAGUGUACGCUCCUGGGACCUACAACUGGGUUCAGAAAACUACAGAUUCCAAAUACCAUCAGUUAAGAAAGCUAUGGAAGCUUAAAAUCAUGUCUCUUUUUUAAACUAUAGAACCGUAUGUUCUCAAUUCAU